rnacentral:rRNA from 1 species
AACGAACGCUGGCGGCAGGCCUAAUACAUGCAAGUCGAACGCCUGUAGCAAUACAGGAGUGGCAGACGGGUGAGUAACACGUGGGAACGUACCCUUCGGUUCGGAACAACCCAGGGAAACUUGGGCUAAUACCGGAUACGUCCGCAAGGAGAAAGAUUUAUCGCCGAAGGAUCGGCCCGCGUCCGAUUAGCUAGUUGGUGGGGUAAUGGCCCACCAAGGCGACGAUCGGUAGCUGGUCUGAGAGGAUGAUCAGCCACAUUGGGACUGAGACACGGCCCAAACUCCUACGGGAGGCAGCAGUGGGGAAUAUUGGACAAUGGGCGCAAGCCUGAUCCAGCAAUGCCGCGUGUGUGAAGAAGGCCUUCGGGUUGUAAAGCACUUUAGCCUGGAAAGAAAAAACUUUGGUUAACACCCAAAGUCUUGACGGUAUCAGGAGAAUAAGCACCGGCUAACUC